AUGAAAAUAACUGGCACCAAUUAUUAUAACACCUUAUUGGUCGUCGUUACUAUUGUUUAAAGUAAAACGAAAUCAAAGAGAAUAGAACUAUGUUUGAAUUCUGGUUUAAAUAUGACGUCUGGACGCACGACAGGAGACUGCAGAGUUCAGCGAGUGCGGAGCAUAAAGAACCUUCGAGAAAUACAAGAACAUUUAGAAGAAUUGAAGUUUCAUUUUAAAAUAUCUGGAACUUACUGAAACAAGUGACAUUAGAGAAGUCAGCGAGGCUGGCGUCCUGUCUUAAAAAUAAUGAAUUUAUAAUAAAAUCCGAUAUCAGAAGUGGGAUCGCUCCUGUGAUCAGUUACUGCCGGUCUUUGUGUAUUUGUAAAUCCUGAUCCAGCUCAAGAAAAUAAUCAUCCGGAGAACUUGCGUAAUGAAGAACGCUCCUCAGUCUUUCAUGCAAAUGAUGUCAACAAUGCAGAGCGUGACCGAACGUUUGCUACUAAAAAAAACAAGGGAUACGAUUAAAAUUACUAACAAGAUCAUAUUAAUUUUAUCAUCUUUUGAUCCCGGUGAUAGUGUGUGUGUUCGGGAUUGAUUCAAACGCAUCUUUACGGCUGUAAAUACGUACCAAAUCAGUAACUACGACAUUCGAAUUAAAGUCUUUUAAAGGAGCGAGCUAGAAAGUGUGCAGACGAUUGGUUAGUUGCAACAUCUACACAAGAGGCAUUACGUGAGACCAUAGCUAACAUUUGUUAUUAUCCUUUGAGCUAACCUCGUGUCCAUGAUGUAUUCUGAAGAGAACCAUGAGAUUCUGUAGGGAAGGCUUGUGGUACCGUGACAAGACAAUUAUACACCACCGAUCUGGAGAGCGUGACCUCUGAGCUAAUCACGUGUUACCCUUGAGCUAACCACGGGUCCUUGAUGUAUCCAUAAGAGAACCAUGAGAUUCCGUAGGGAUGCCUUGUGGAGCCGUGAGAAGACAAGUCUACACCACAGAUGUGGAGAGCGUACCUCUGAACUAAUCGCGUGUUACUCUUGAGCCAACCACAGGUCCUUGCUGUAUCCUUAAGAAUACCAUGAGAUGACGUAGGGAGGCCUUGGGAAGACUUGAGUAGAAAGAUACUCACUCGAUCUAUAAGAACUUGCAUGAUUUUAAUAUCAAACUACUGAGACCAUUGCUUUAUUUAAAUACGACAAUAGACAUACUCUUCACAGUAAUAUUUGCAACAUGUCUGGUUAACACACGGCAGUGCCUCUACAAAAACGAUGCUGUAAUUCAAACGAAAGCAUACUCGACUCCAAAAUCCUGAUAAAAUACAUCUAUUGUGAAUAUAACUAAUUUCUGUUCCUUUUCUGCUAACCGUGGUCAUGCGUUUGAAUCGUGUUUCCGACGGGAAUAAGGAGAUCACGCCGAAUUUUAAUUUAAUACCAGCUGGUAAAUGUACUCUUAAAUAAAAUGCAAGAUCGCAGUGGUGCGUUAUACAAGAAUCAAUUGCAAAUGAUAUCUCUGGGUGUAGAAAACAAAUCGUAAACUAUUUGCGUGGAUUGAGAUCGGACCUUACUAUUUCAAUGAAAAGUUAAAUAGUUAUUAAUGUAGAAAUAAUUUUCUAUAGUUCCAGGUUUUGAAACGACUGCUGAUAUUUUAACCGGAGCAGAUUUAUUACGUGAUAAGAAUACAUGUGGAAAAUUUAGUAUCCUUGCCGAUGUUUUGCACAUACGAACAAGUCAAUUAUGCUUAAGGGAGAUAUUGUAAUAAUAAAAAUAUAACCCCAGAAAUCGGAUAUCCCUAUAUUUAAAAUUUUGUGAACUAUACAAAAUCCAGAAAAUAAUUGAGAAUGAUUAAUAUCUUGUAAAGUGAUUUUAGACAAUGGAUGACUUCGAAAUGUGGCACAUGACCAGCUACGAAUGUGGCACAUGACCAGCUACGAUGAGACUUCACAGCAUCUGAGGGACGACACAGAAUUACUAAGCAAGCAGUUAGGUGGACGGUUCGCCUACCUAAUAGUUAUCCGAAAACAAUGCAGAGCACGCAUCAGUAUAACCGUAUCGGCAUGACUUCGGACGAUGAAGCAUCAAUUCUUGAACCUGGCCCAUACUCUACGAGACCUGCAACGGGUACGAGAAAAUAACGAAAGCUAAGCAAGAGAGAACACAUCACCAGGCAGGUGCAGAGCACGCACCGCCUGCCAGAAUGGCCGUAUCGGCGCAAGCAGCUUCAACGACGGAUGCAACAUGAAAAUAACUGGCACCAAUUAUUAUAACACCUUAUUGGUCGUCGUUACUAUUGUUAAAAGUAAAACGAAAUCAAAGAGAAUAGAACUAUGUUUGAAUUCUGGUUUAAAUAUGACGUCUGGACGCACGACAGGGGACUGCAGAGUUCAGCGAGUGCGGAGCAUAAAGAACCUUCGAGAAAUACAAGAACAUUUAGAAGAA